UACGAAGGGGGCUAGCGUUGUUCGGAAUCACUGGGCGUAAAGCGCGCGUAGGCGGGUCGUUAAGUCGGGGGUGAAAUCCCGAGGCUCAACCUCGGAACUGCCUUCGAUACUGGCGACCUUGAGUCCGGGAGAGGUGAGUGGAACUCCUAGUGUAGAGGUGAAAUUCGUAGAUAUUAGGAAGAACACCAGUGGCGAAGGCGGCUCACUGGCCCGGUACUGACGCUGAUGUGCGAAAGCGUGGGGAGCAAACAGG
rnacentral:rRNA from 1 species